rnacentral:rRNA from 2 species
UUGACCUCAAAUCAGGUAGGAUUACCCGCUGAACUUAAGCAUAUCAU